ACCGGCGCACGGGUGCGUAACGCGUAUGAAACCUGCCUUUUACUGGGGGAUAGCCCGAAGAAAUUCGGAUUAAUACCCCAUAAUAUUAUUGAUUGGCAUCAAUUGAUAAUUAAAGCUGAGGUGGUAAAAGAUGGUCAUGCGUGACAUUAGCUAGUUGGUAAGGUAAAGGCUUACCAAGGCGACGAUGUCUAGGGGUUCUGAGAGGAAGGUCCCCCACACUGGUACUGAGACACGGACCAGACUCCUACGGGAGGCAGCAGUGAGGAAUAUUGGUCAAUGGACGCAAGUCUGAACCAGCCAUGUCGCGUGCAGGAAGACUGCCCUAUGGGUUGUAAACUGCUUUUAUAUGGGAAGAAUGUGAUCUACGUGUAGAUUUUUGCCGGUACCAUAUGAAUAAGCAUCGGCUAACUCCGUGCCAGCAGCCGCGGUAAUACGGAGGAUGCGAGCGUUAUCCGGAUUCAUUGGGUUUAAAGGGUGCGUAGGCGGAAAUAUAAGUCAGGGGUGAAAGUUUGUGGCUCAACCAUAAAAUUGCCUUUGAUACUGUAUUUCUUGAGUACAUUUGAGGUAGGCGGAAUGUGUUGUGUAGCGGUGAAAUGCUUAGAUAUAACACAGAACACCGAUUGCGAAGGCAGCUUACUAAACUGUCACUGA
rnacentral:rRNA from 1 species